AUUGCUUCUCGGCCUUUGGCUGAGGUCAAGUGUAGUGUCUGUUCUUACCAGUUUAAUAUCUGAUAUGUCCUCUAUUGGAGGACAAUAUACUAAAUGGAUUUUUGGAGUUAGGAGAUGGAACAGGGGCUUCACUCCACACAUCGACCUAGUAUUGCAGUACUUCCAGGAACAGUGCACCAAAA